UUUUUUUUUUGAGGCAGAGUCUCACUCUGUCACCCAGGCUGGAUUGCAGUGUUGCAAUCUCGGCUUACUGCAACCUGGAUUUAAGCAUUUCUCCUGCCUCAGCCUCCGAAGUGGCUGGGACUACAGGAACUAGAGGCUGCUAUCCAGCCAGAUACUAGCCUGGUGUCAGUCAUGACUGUGAACAAUGAGAUUGGAGUGAAGCAGCCUAUUGCAGAAAUAGGGCGGAUUUGCAGUUCCAGAAAGGUAUAUUUCCAUACUGAUGCAGCCCAGGCUGUUGGAAAAAUCCCACUUGAUGUCAAUGACAUGAAAAUUGAUCUCAUGAGCAUUAGUGGUCACAAAAUCUACGGUCCCAAAGGGGUUGGUGCCAUCUACAUCCGUCGCCGGCCCCGUGUGCGUGUGGAGGCCCUGCAGAGUGGAGGGGGGCAGGAGCGGGGUAUGCGGUCUGGGACAGUGCCCACACCCUUAGUGGUGGGGCUGGGGGCUGCGUGUGAGGUGGCACAGCAAGAGAUGGAGUAUGACCACAAGCGAAUCUCAAAGUUGUCAGAGCGGCUGAUACAGAAUAUAAUGAAGAGCCUUCCAGAUGUGGUGAUGAAUGGGGAC
rnacentral:sRNA from 1 species